rnacentral:sRNA from 1 species
GCUGGGCAAGGUGACGCAUGCCUGUAAUCCCAGCAACUUGGGAGGCUGAGGCAGGAGGAUGGCAAGUUCCAGACCAGCCUCAGCAACUUAGUGAGACUCUGUCUCAA